AUUUUUUUUCACUUAUUUUCCGUAAGGGGUAUCACGUAUAUUAUAGAUUUUCAAUACUAGCAAUCAAUAUCGAAAUGCAACCAUAAUCUACUGAAAACUUCUCGUUUUCAUCCUUUUCUAAUAUCCUUUCCUAAUACUGUCAUCAUUUGCUACGAAUAUUCGCGACGAAAUUCCAUGGAAGAUGUUACAUAGGACAUAGGAACGUACUUAGAACAUACUUAGUCGAUCGUAGUACGUAUGAGAAUAUUCUGAGAUCGCAAUAUACACAUUGCGAUCUUCUCAGAACAUACUCAGAAUGUACGCGUGCUGUUAGGGUUAUAACAAUCACGAAGUGAAAGUGUGUCGGGAUAACUGUUUGGAGUCUAUUGGAAAGUGUCGGGUCCUAUUUAUUGAGAAAAAGAAAAAAAGAAUGUUCAAAACUAUUUUAAUCGGGACAUUUAAAAUCUACUCGAUAAAAGGAAUAAGAAAAAAGUUUUAAUUAUGCAUGAACCUCCGAUCGCGAAAUGUCACCUGAGAUGGAUCUCGUCAUCCCCGAGGGUGACAAUCCGGAGUUGGAUAAUUUUUUAAACGCUUUUACGAAUUAUAGAUGAGAACUGUAUUUUAUAUAUUCCGAAUGACCCGGAUGCCGAGAUUAUUGAAUUACCAUGUCGAACUGUAUGAGUUACUGUUUUUUCUCUGUGGACGCAGAGGAUGACUUGGCGAACGAUCCAUUGAAGGAUCCCGGCCAGCGAUUUAGAGGACGAGUGGCCCACCCUCGCCGGAUAGUUCUCGGAAAAUGGGGCAUUUGACUUUUAAUUUUUAAUGUAGUGCUGCAGUUUCUUAG